GGGGAAGUGGUAGCUUGGUUAAAACGUUAGACUUCUGCUCGGAAGGUAAUGAGUUCAAAUCCCAGCACCACCA